rnacentral:rRNA from 1 species
UUCGGAGCCGCCCGUACCCCAAACCGACACAGGUGAUCAGGUAGAGAAUACCAAGGCGAUCGAGUGAACCAUGGUUAAGGAACUCGGCAAAAUGCCCCCGUAACUUCGGGAGAAGGGGGGCCUGAUGCGUGACACCACUUGCUGGUGGAAGCGUUGAUGGCCGCAGAGACCAGGCCCAAGCGACUGUUUACUAAAAACACAGGUCCGUGCGAAGAAGUAAUUCGAUGUAUACGGACUGACGCCUGCCCGGUGCUGGAACGUUAAGGGGACAGGUUAGCUGGCUUAGGCCGGCGAAGCUUUGAACUUAAGCGCCAGUAAACGGCGGUGGUAACUAUAACCAUCCUAAGGUAGCGAAAUUCCUUGUCGGGUAAGUUCCGACCUGCACGAAUGGCGUAACGACUUGGGCGCUGUCUCAACCAUGGACUCGGCGAAAUUGCAUUACGAGUAAAGAUGCUCGUUACGCGCAGCAGGACGGAAAGACCCCGGGGCCCUUACUACAACUUGGUAUUGGUGGUCGGUACAACUUGUGUAGGAUAGGUGGGAGACUGUGAAACUCGGACGCCAGUUCGGGUGGAGUCAUCGUUGAAAUACCACUCUGGUUGUUCUGGCUGUCUAACUUCGGUCCAUUAUCUGGAUCAGGGAUAGUGCCUGGUGGGUAGUUUGACUGGGGCGGUCGCCUCCUAAAAGGUAACGGAGGCGCUCAAAGGUUCCCUCAGCCUGGUUGGCAAUCAGGUGUCGAGUGUAAGUGCACAAGGGAGCUUGACUGUGAGACAGACAUGUCGAGCAGGGACGAAAGUCGGAACUAGUGAUCCGGCGGUGGCAUGUGGGAGCACCGUCGCUCAACGGAUAAAAGGUACCCCGGGGAUAACAGGCUGAUCCUCCCCAAGAGUCCAUAUCGACGGGAUGGUUUGGCACCUCGAUGUCGGCUCGUCGCAUCCUGGGGCUGGAGUAGAUCCCAAGGGUUGGGCUGUUCGCCCAUUAAAGCGGCACGCGAGCUGGGUUUAGAACGUCGUGAGACAGUUCGGUCCCUAUCCGCUGCGCGCGCAGGAGACUUGAGAAGGGCUGCCCCUAGUACGAGAGGACCGGGGUGGACGAACCUCUGGUGUGCCAGUUGUUCCGCCAGGAGCACGGCUGGUUGGCUACGUUCGGAAGUGAUAACCGCUGAAAGCAUCUAAGCGGGAAGCACGCUUCAAGAUGAGGUCUCCCACCGAGUUAAUCGGGUAAGGCCCCCAGUAGACCACUGGGUUGAUAGGCCAGAAGUGGAAGCGCCGCAAGGUGUGGAGCUGACUGGUACUAAUAGGCCGAGGGCUUGUCUCA